rnacentral:rRNA from 1 species
ACAAUAAAUCACAAUGCGGGACUAUUCGUCUUGCAAUUGGAUUGAGAACAAUGUACAACUCUUAUCGAUAAGCCAUUGGAGGGCAAGUCUGGUGCCAGCAGCCGCGGUAAUUCCAGCUCCAAUAGCGUAUAUUAACGUUGUUGCAGUUAAAAAGCUCGUAGUUGAAGUGUGGGUGGUGCCUACUUCAUGACUUCGGUUGUGAGGUGGAUCACCACCCCCUUCCAGUAUCCAGUAGUGGGUAUUCAGUUACUUACUACUGUGUGUUGGUCGUUUACUGUGAGAAAAUUAGAGUGUUCAAAGCAGGCGUUUGCUUGAAUAGAUUAGCAUGGAAUAAUAAUUGAAGGCUUUCGUGUUCGAUUUGAUUGGUUUGUUCAUGGAAGCAAGGUUAAAAGGAACAGUUGGGGGUAUUCAUAUUCACUAGUUAGAGGUGAAAUUCUCGGAUUUAUGGAAGAUGAACAA